rnacentral:rRNA from 1 species
UACGUAGGGUGCGAGCGUUGUCCGGAAUUACUGGGCGUAAAGAGCUCGUAGGUGGUUUGUCGCGUUGUCCGUGAAAACUCACAGCUUAACUGUGGGCGUGCGGGCGAUACGGGCAGACUGGAGUACUGCAGGGGAGACUGGAAUUCCUGGUGUAGCGGUGGAAUGCGCAGAUAUCAGGAGGAACACCGGUGGCGAAGGCGGCAUCCUGGACCGGCAUUGACGCCUGAACAGCGAAAGCCAGGGGAGCAAACGGG